GCGGGAUUAGUUCAUCGGUAGAAUAUCUGCUUUCCAAGCAGAGGGGACGGUUACGAUUCCCGUAUCCCGCA
rnacentral:tRNA from 1 species